rnacentral:lncRNA from 1 species
CGCCAAGGAGGUGCAGCCAAUAAUGGAUUACUUUUUGGUUCGGUUGUGUGUUACAUCUCCUCUUCCAGAUUUGUCAGCAAUAUAUUGUGAUGCUGCUGCUGUUUGUGAUAAAGAGGUACAUGACACCUGCUAAGCCCAUUGUGGGCAGUAUAGAGUCUUCUCACUUCUUGCCUGGCCUGGAUCAUCAAAAAGAAGAAAAGGAGAAGUGAUUGAGAUGAUGGUGCUUCACAUCCCAGAGGGAGUUUCGUUUGACAGAUAAGCACCCUGAGUCAUGAGCUGAAUACGUGCCUAAACGUUUCAGUCUUUGAAGGAAAUCCUAUCAAAGUUUGCUGCUGCGGUUGAACGUGCUGACUCAAAGCCCUUAGUACGUGAGCUACUGGGGAGCAAAUGUGGCUGGCAGGCAGUCGCACAGUGGGCUGCGUG